UGAACGCUUUCCUCUCCUUUCACUUCCUCUCAUUUCGUCUCAGAAAUCGUCAGAUUCGCUGAAGUUUUGGCCUUAACUCUCUCUCUCUCUCUCUCUCUAUAUAUAUAUAUAUAUAUUGGUAUGUGGGCUGACAGAAGAGAGUGAGCACACAGCGGCGAUUGCAUCGAUCUGAUGCCUUAUCUGUUGCGUGCUCACUUCUCUCUCUGUCAGCUCUCUCUGUCCCUCAAAGCAUGUAGCGCUGAAGGCUGAUAAUAUCUUUGAUGGACUGGAAAGCCGGGUGUGCAGGUGAACAUCGUGUCUCUCUGGAGAGAUGGCCACGAGGGUGUAGAGUUCAUGUCUGUCUUUUCCCUGUGGAUUCUCACUGUUAUUUUAUCUCGUCUGCUGGAUUUUCUGCAUAUAUACGACUCUUUUUCUUGCUCUCUCUGGACGUCUCUGCAUUUGUACUCUGUGAGACGUCUCGUCUGGCGCGGACACCCACGGAGAGAGGUGGAUUUCCGAGGCAAAGAGAUAGUACUGGUCGCAUGGACUAUUAUGUCCACUGAAUCGAGAUGGAAAAUCCAAGAGGAGAAGGAACACAUAAUAAUGAUUAAGGCGUGGUGGUGCAGAGAGGAAGCGUGACUUUUGAGGAUGGAUCUGUUAACGGGUAUCACUGUUUGACUGGUCCCAUCUCUUUCUGUUCCUUCUUUCUCCCCCUCAUCUUCUUCUAUCUUCCCCACUUGCCGAACAACAAGUUCUUAUACAGAUCUAUCCUUGUCGAAACCAUGGAGAAAAAUCAUCAUCGUAUGAGAUCUCCAGACUCAGUUGUACCGAAGUUUGUCUUGCUUCAUGGCUGAAGAUGGAUCUUGAACUCUUUUAAGUUUCAGAAGGCACAUAAAGAAGUAGAGCCUAGCAGAUCUGCGUUGCACCUGAGGGUAGUUUUCUUUCCCUUCUCUUACCAUAGCGUUUACGAUAAGUUUAUUGUCGCAGUAGUUUCCUAUUUCAUGGAUUGUUUCUCGCUCUACACUAGGCAUGGCUGCUGUUCCUUCUGGUCCAUACGUAUCAUAGACGGGUAGAUCUGUGUCUAGUGCUUUUACUCAUCUUUGGAUCUAUGUGGUUUCUCAUCUUAUCUUUUAUCUACAACUGCAGCUAAAUGUUUUGCCUUACAUAUUCCAUGAAUCUGCCUAUUUCUUUCACCAAAGUAUUGUUUUGUGAUUUCUCAUCUUAUCUUUUAUCUACCACUGCAGCUAAAUGUUUUGCCUUACAUAUUCCAUGAAUCUGCCUAUUUCAUUCACCAGAGUAUUGUUUUGUGAUUUCUCAUCUUAUCUUUUAUCUACAACUGCAGCUAAAUGUUUUCCCUCACAUAUUCCAUGAAUCGGCCUAUUUCUCUCACCAGAGUAUUGUUUUGUGAUUUCUCAUCUUAUCUUUUAUCUACAACUGCAGCUAAAUGUUUUGCCUUACAUAUUCCAUGAAUCUGCCUAUUUCUUCACCAGAAUAUUGUUUUGUGAUUUCUCAUCUUGUCUUUUAUCUACAACUGCAGUUAAAUGUUUUGCCUCACAUAUUCCAUGAAUCUGCCUAUUUCAUUCACCAGAGUAUUGUUUUGUGAUUUCUCAUCUUAUCUUUUAUCUGCAACUGCAGCUAAAUGUUUUGCCUCACAUAUUCCAUGAAUCGGCCUAUUUCUCUCACCAGAGUAUUGUUUUGUGAUUUCUCAUCUUAUCUUUUAUCUACAACUGCAGCUAAAUGUUUUGCCUUACAUAUUCCAUGAAUCUGCCUAUUUCUUCACCAGAAUAUUGUUUUGUGAUUUCUCAUCUUGUCUUUUAUCUACAACUGCAGUUAAAUGUUUUGCCUCACAUAUUCCAUGAAUCUGCCUAUUUCAUUCACCAGAGUAUUGUUUUGUGAUUUCUCAUCUUAUCUUUUAUCUGCAACUGCAGCUAAAUGUUUUGCCUCACAUAUUCCAUGAAUCGGCCUAUUUCUCUCACCAGAGUAUUGUUUUGUGAUUUCUCAUCUUAUCUUUUAUCUACAACUGCAGCUAAAUGUUUUGCCUUACAUAUUCCAUGUAUCUGCCUAUUUCUUUCACCAGAGUAUUUUUGUUUUGUGAUUUCUCAUCUUGUCUUUUUUUUCUACAACUGCAGUUAAAUGUUUUGCCUCACAUAUUCCAUGAAUCUGCCCAUUUCUUUCACCAGAUUAUUGUUCAUCCUGGCUGUCUUUACGACUCCAUAUAAGACGUUUCAAGAUGAAAGAUAUUAUUCCAUCAACUCACUACCCAAUGAUAUGUUUCUUUAAUAGCUGUUUGCAGCCCAAUUUUUACCAUAUUUCGUUCAUGUUAUGGAAUUUUCGAUUCCUUAUCAUCGACAAUGUUUGGUUUAUAUUGCCAUUACCAGAUAUAACUUCUGUUCUUGUGUUCUUUUGAAUGCCUUUUGUUUUAAGUAGGCCCGAUGUUGCAGAAAGACUGCAAUCUCACAAGGAUAUGGUUUCCUAAGGAUAAGACAUAGGUUAGUCACUUUGUUUGACAUAGAAAAAUGUUACAGUGGCAAUAGUAGCAAUCAUAAUAUUCAAUUUACUGUGAAUUGUCAAUUUGGAAACAUGGAAUAAUAAAUUGCCUCAACUUUGGUCGCUAAGCAUUUGUCCUUAGGCAUUGGACUUCGAGUUUGCAGGCAUGAAUAAGGGCUUAUCAGAGCACAAAAUUACUUGAGAGAAAUCUUAGUGCAAAUAUUAUCUUUUUGAAGAUAAUUUUUGCAUAAUAAUUUUUUUUCUUGAUAAAUGAGGAUCGAUGGGAAUAUGAUUUAAUAUGAUAAGCACUCGUUGUUGGUUGUGAAGAACAUGAUUUCUCGGUUAUAGGGUUGGUUUGAAGAAUUGAUUUCUGGAUUGUUCAUACUCAUGCUGUUGCUAUGACAUGCAAACUGUGGAUUCUAUAAAACGAUUGUGUGCAUACUGCAAAUAUUUCAUAGGUAUAAAAAGACACCGAGGGUUUGAAGUAAUUGAAGAUUCAUAUUGCUAGUAUUUGUAUCUUGGCUAUGGAAUGAGUGAUCAUUAUGCGAGUCGAUUUGUGACCUUGUGAUUAAUCCACACAAGUAGAUAAGCAUCAUCGUUCGACAUUUAUUGGUCUCUUUGCCAUUACAAAAGUAUUGAGGAUGAUUGGUUUUGACAAGUUUGCACUAGCUUUGAAGUUUAUAAUACAAGGCAUUAAUGAUUUAUUAUACUUGACUUUUAUUCUUCGAAUUGAGGUAGAAGCUUUUGGUCAGUCAUUUUGGUUGUAUGAUUUCAAUUUUUAUUUGUUGAGUCGUGAAACUUUUUUUAUUUUCUUAUGAUUUAGAAAUUGCUAGUAUUUGUAUAAAAAAUAUUUUUGAAAUUUUGUUUGAAGUAAUUGAAGAUUCAUAUUGCUCGUCUAACAUUGAUGUUUUUUUUAUCUUCUUAUCUUGCAUGACAUCAGAAUUGUAAUAAUAAAAUGACUAUUAUAAAAAUGAGAAAAAUAGGCGAUCUUUGGAAUAAUAUUAAUCUUGUUCUAAGGGUACCCGUAUUUUGACUAUCUUGGGGUAGAACAUGCUUAUUCUUAACUUUGAUGGUAUGUUCAAUCUAAAAUGGUAUGUUGUUGAGGAUAGCCUCAUAAUUCAGUACACCUAAGCUUCUAUAGGAGAUAUGAUUCAUUCUUUUUUCUCUUUUGUAUUCUUUUACAUGAUAGAACAAUGUAUUGUAAUAUCAUAAUCAUGAUGGAAUUUAAUUUUACAUUCUCAGUUUUGUGCUUAAUGGAUCAUCAUAUGGUACUCUGAGUGAGUUUUUCAGUAAAUUGGUUUCAUAUUCAUUUAGCUCUCCUUAUUAGAAUGUAAGUCUUUAUGUCAAUUCCACAAUACAAGGAAAUAUAAGGGGAAAAAAGUAGUAACUAUGACCAUUGAGGGCAAACAAGAUUGAAGGUCUGAUACUUGCUACAACUAGCUUUCUUAUGGUAUGUUGUUUGGCACGUCUUGCUAUGUAUCGAACCCUACACAAGAUUGAAGGUAUGAUGUUGGCGGCUACUAGGUUUUGAAUGUUAUAUUCUUUGGCACCUUUUGCUGUAUACUAUCAUAAGCAUUAUCUAUGAACAUGCAAAAGAGAAUUUUUAUGUUUCCUUGUUUUGCCAUCUUCCUCUGCCUUUUGUAUUAUCUUUUCCCCUUUUUUCCAUUUACAGAUUCAUAGUUUUAAGACUUUGUUGUUUUCAUGCUUUAGGAUGUCUAAGUUAAUAAAUUACUUCAAUUAUUUUUUCAUGUUCUUUCUCAUUUUAUUGCUUAUUUGUGCGUAGUAGUUGAUGCUAUCAUAUCAUAAAAUGCAUGUCGCAUUAACUUUCUUAUACACAUUCAUGAGGGAAACUUUUUUCCCCUUAAUUUUCAAUCUGUAAACUCUUUCUGCUCAUCCAAAAGUUCCUAUAUACACUUCUAAGAUCAUUGACGCUGCCGUUCGAUGGUCCUAAAGUGUUCUUUUCUUUUCAACUACCAAAACUUGAACUCGUAUGCAAGAGGUUUUAGAGGACAAUUUAACGGUAAUCACAGUAUGCUCAUGUGCAUCCCUUUUACAUUAACAAUCAUGCUUGAAAUUUAUCGGCUUUAACGUUACAUUCUUUCUUUCAUGUUGAAUGAAGACCUCAGAUAUCUAAAACUUGUCUUCUUUUAAAAUUUCUUGUCAAAUUGUUUUACAUGUUUAUCGUUCUUUAAUUGAUGAAAGUGAGUUAACUUGAUGUAUGAGACCUAUAUCUACUAAUUAUCUAUCAAUUAGUUUCUCAGGUUUUGUAUUUAUGGUUCAUGUCCAGAAUUAAUCCCAAUAAGGUUCUGAUCAACUAGAAAAUUAUUGUAAAUAAACAACAUACACAAGGGAAAAUGUCCUUGGUUAGUUCAUACAGUAUUGAAAUAAAAAAUUAAAGGACUUCAAAUUAUUCGUUGACCGAACCCUAUACUGGUAGCUAAUGCUAUGCCCUUGUGUUAUUCUUCUGAUGCCGAUAACUUUAGUUAGAUAUCUUCAUCUUAUUUUUGUAUUUAUAAGAAUCUGGUUUUUGUGUGAAACCGAGUUAUGAAAGAUUUAAUUGGGUGGUUGCAUUGGUUAGUUUGCGGAUUGAAGAUAUUCAAAAGUUCCUUUAACUGUGAGGCCGAAGUCCUUCAACUUCAUGAAUUCGCUUCUCUUUUACUACAUCCAAAACCAUAUGGGGUGAUUACUACUUGGAAACUUAUAUUCCAUUUGUUUUUAUUAUCGGUUCGGUUGUCUUGUUUUAGUAAUCAUACAGUGUAGCUCCUUCCAUCCUAAACAAAUUUAUGUAAAGCCGAUGGCGAUAAAUUUCAGCUGUGAGAUAACCUGUAAUGUAUGUGGUAAGUCAUCCGACUUGAUCUUCAUUUUGCAGUUGCUACAGAAGCAAUGAACCAGUACUAGUCCAUUCAAAUACGUUUUACGGUUGUCGGUUUAUGAGAUGCCCUUAUCAAGUUUCGUUAUCUAAGAUGCUGUUGAAUCAAGCUGACUUCAUCUGUUGAAAUAUCAGCUCAGUAUUACUUUUUAGUAUAUUUAACCAGGAUCCAUCACAACUGGACACUUGUUAACUCAACCAAGGUUUACCAAUAGAGUUAGGGCACAGAUCAGUCAUUUCAACCUAAGAAACAGCUUAUGAUGAAGUUGUUGACUUCGAAUCGAAUCUGACUUGUGUGUGUCCUAUAUUUAAUGGUGGUUUACCCAUUACCAUUAGUCUUAGUAUUGACCUGUGGUAAUGAAAUUAACAAGGAACAAGUAAUGUCAAUGGCAAAGUCAUGCAUGCAAGAUGGAAAUUGAUGUUGUCAAUUGAUGACCGGUUGAAGAUUGUGGGGGGGGGGGAGUCUCUUUCAACAACUGGUGCAAAACGAGCAACAACAAUCACAAAGAAAAUACUGAUGGUCGGGCUAUUUUGAUCAGAAAUAGUGAGGAAAUACUUGAAGGAUAUAAUAAUCAGAAUCUUGAGAUCAACAGACGAGAAAAGUCCAACAGCAGUCAUAUUAUGAAGUGUAAUUUGUUUCGCUGAUGAGAAAUCACAUGUUGCUUCAGAUUGUUUUCAUAGAUCAAUUAGAACACUCUGCAAGACAUAAAAGAAGAUAUUUAGGUGUCUCAAUCUUUUGCUGUAUGGAUCUGCCCUCACGCAGUCCCUUGUUUUAUAAGAGUUUGGGGUCCUCCGGCACUAUGCUAGAGUAGUGCAAAACCUUCUCAGAUCGGUAUGGAGAGAAAUCCUGUGUUGAAUCUCGACUUACAAGGGAACAAAAAAAUGUCGAAAGUCUUCUUGAAACUCCUCCCAAGUUAGUAUGAAAUAAAUCAGACUGAUCCAAAGUCCAAACCAUUUUUAAUAGACUUAAUGAUGUUGUUGAUCUCAUCUUAGCCAAAAACUUGACCACCAAGUCUUUGUCUCACGGUAUGCUUGCUUUACUAGGAAAGGAAGUCAAGGAAUCGGCAGAGAUGUCCUAUCAGUACAGAAAUUCUCGUACAAGAAUUUGGUGAAUGGAGUAAGAAUAUGCAAGUGAAAAUGAAAAAUACUCACAAGAAUUUAAAGAAAGUUAUAAUUGUUUUUCCUGGUGAAAUUGAUGUUGAAGAAACAAAGGCAAGACCAGGGUUGAGGUAUGUAUGGAGGCUUCUUCUUUGUUGAUUUUUAGCUGCUAUAUUCUUCGCAUGAUGAUUUGUAAUGUAUCUCGAAACCAAAAUAAAAUGCUGAAAACUAAUCUCAAAAUCUUGAAUGAAUAAAAUGGCAAGACAGUUUCAUCAUAUUCUCUCCAAAAAGUUGAGAGUAAUUAUUGUGGUAUAAUUAAUUCACUACUGAAUCAUUUUGCAUAUUUUGUUUGUUAUAAUGUUGCAGAUUGUUAGAUGGACUUGGUGAAAAAAAUAAAAUAAAAUUAGAGUUGUCUUUCUUUUUAAUAUGCUUGCUAUCUGGUGGAGUCAUAAUUAAAAAAAAUGCAGUGUGUUAUGCCUUUAUUCUAAUGGUGUGUGUUCAAUUUGCAGAAAUAUCUGUUUUAUUUUGAUGAAAGAACAUCACUUGUUUUAUUGAUGUCAUUAUUAUGUCUUCCUAUUCCUUUUCCAUUUCAUCUCUUUUUGGCUUGCUUGUACAAUGAUGUUGCGUUUUGCUGAGAGAAACUAUAGCUAACUAUUAUUGCCAUGGUUGUCUCCGUCAUGUUAGAGGUUUGAAGCCAAUUUGGGUAUAAUUUUAUGAGAGAGAAUGAGAUGGUUUGAUAAAUGCCUAAGUAGGUUGGAAAGCCUUGUGGUUUUCGACGGUCAUCAAUUAUAUAUAUAGAAUCGUCUAGUAUUAUGCUUAUGAUGAGACAUUAUGGUUAAUGCUCAUAUGACUUGUAUAAUUGAGAUAAGAAGUCCGAUCGAGAUGGUAUUAAAGUCGAAAUGAUAUUAAGUUCAAAUUUUAGGAAGAUCCAUGUAAUCAAUUCUAAAUAGUUGAGACUUAAAGACGUUAUUGUAUGAGACACCCGAUCGAGUUAUCAGAUUGAUGGGACAUCUAAUGUGAUAUCAAACUCCGCCAUCAAUAAUCAGGUAACUAAAGAUAAAUCCAUUCAUUAGAUUUGUUAUAUAUUCUUGAAUUUGGUUGGAGUACUUUUCAGUAUUUCCGGAACAACAUGACCUCUUGAAACCACAUAUAUUUUACCUGAGACAGUUUGGAUACGAUAUCUCAAUCCUCAUAUCAAGAAAAAUUGUGGUUCACGAUGUAAUCAAUGUGUCAGUCAAUAUCCAGUUGUAUUAGACUGCUAUUCUCAGCGAGUUCUGUGCUCUCCAUGUAUCCAUCUUACCUGAACACCUGGAAUCCUUUUCAUAUAUAUAGCGGCAGAUUUUAUUGCCUUUAGCUUGUGGGAAUCAGACAAAUCCAAAAGACAUUUGAUGAAUAUGUCAUGAUCAGUCCAGCAUAUAUUCUACACAUUCUACCUGCUCAAUGUAGCAGAAGGAUUCUAUCGACACAGAGAGCCAAUGAUGUUAUUAUUCCUAGCAAGUGGAGUGACAGAGAGCCAUGGGAUUGAUCGUAAGAGAAGCAGGAGUCCAUGUGGAAACUUUACUUGUUCCUUUCACUGGAUAGCCUUUCUUCGACAGGGGCGUGGAAGAUAUCAUCGACUGUCAUGUUGACGGCGCUAAGAGGAAUCGGAGAGGAAGAUUUCAGAUUGAAGUUUGUGAUUUAUGGAGGAGAAGAGAAUGUGUUCAUAGUUUUAAGGGAAGAUGCAGCAGAUUCUGUGCAGGGUUCUGAGCAUAGCAAUUUAUGGUUCUGCCAACAACGUUGUCCAUCCCACUCACUGUUUACUUCAACCUCUCGUUCGUCUUUCUCUCUCUCUCUCUAACAUUCAUAGCACACAAUGUAACCCGCAGGAGGUAUGCUUCCAAACGAAGCAUUCUAUUUGCCUUUUAGUAGCCAUCUUACUCUUGCUACUUUAUGCCACCGUAGCUUGUACACAAAUAGAUGUAUUCCCAAGAGGCAAAGUGGAAAUAAGGUGACUGCCAUCCGAACAACCAAGAAAAUUAUCUCAAACUUCAUUCAAAAAGAAAAAAUGUGUACUGAAUUCAAUAAAAUUUACUUUUGUAGCUCAAUAUCUGUAACAAAAUUAUCCAAAGUCACAUUUUACAGAAAUGUGAGGAUUGCCAACACUGUUGCAGCUGUAUGUUUACAGAAACUUCAAACAAGAAAAAAAAAAAAAAUCCCA